GAGAAUUGCGAUAAUCUCCAAUCACUUUCCGAAUCAGCAUUGCCCUCCUCCCUCUCUCAGCUGACCAUCAUAAAUUGCCCUAAUCUCCAAUCACUCUCCGAAUCAGCACUACCCUCCUCCCUCUCUGAGCUAACCAUCAGCAAUUGUCGUAAUCUCCAAUCACUCUCCGAACCAGCACUACCAUCCUCCCUCUCUAAGCUGACCAUCAUGAAUUUCCCUAAUCUCCAAUUACUUCCAGUAAAAGGGAUGCCCUCUUCCCUCUCUACACUAAAUAUUCACAACUGCCCAUUGCUCACACCACUACUAGAAUUUGACAAGGGAAAAUACUGGCAAAUUAUUGCUCAAAUUCCCAAUAUAUAUAUUGAUGGAGAAUACCUGUAAUGAUUAAAACAAAUGGUGCUCUGACAAAUGGUGUCGCUAUUUCCAAAUUGUACAGAUAUCUACUUUGGCUUGCUUGAGAUGAAGCAUCACUUGCUGCAAGUGGAACAUUCAGCUCUAAUGAAACCCAAAGGAUUUUUACAAGGCUCAACGAUUAUUUAGGAAGUGAAAAGUUUCGAAGGUCUCUCUGCUCAAGUCAAGAAGCGAAAGUUGUUGAACCUUCAAGUGUGGAAAUCUUCUCAUACAUGGGCGGAGCUAGAGAGGAACAUAUGGGUUCGACAGAGACUGGUAACUAUACAAAACAAGACAAACAUUACAGAGAUUGCCAUCGGUCUCCGAAUCAACACUGCCCUCCUCCCUCUCUCAGCUGACAAUAGAUGAUUGCGAUAAUCUCCUAUCACUCUCCGAAUCAACACUUCCCUCCUCCCUCUCUAACAGAGAAGUUGCCAUUCAACUUAUACUCACAUGAUUAAAACAGUUUUUCCACUAUUAAGGACAUGGGAAUUCUAAUAGGAUAAAGCCUGUCUAAGUCAAUUAGAUGUUACAGACUUGCAACUAAUUGUUGUGCGUUAUACAAUUGCAUAUUUCUUGGAUCAAAGGCUGGGAUAUACUUGAAAGCAUAAGAAGAAAGAAUAUGCAUCAAUCAUCCAUGGGAAUGUAUACUUAAGAGGAGACAAUGGCCACCACCACAUCUAUUUGUUAGGAAAUAAAAACAUGUCUAAGGUAUGAAAACUCUUGCAAGAUUCUGUCUUUAGGAAUCAUUCAUGUACAUCUAUAUGUAUUGAGACGUGUGUGUGCUGGUCUGUAAUUGCAAUAUAUAUGUGGAUUGGUGAAGAAUUCUAAAAUUCUUUAUAAUUGCUUUCAGUAAGGAGGUUGUGAUUUCCAAUUCGUACCGCUGUCUACUGUGGCUUCCUUGAGAUGAAGCAUGACUUGCUGCAAAUGGAACAUCCAGCUCUAAUGUACCCAAACGCCGGAUGUGGACAAGACCAUGGUUGUUUACGCUUCAACUCAGUUUCCUGAGUAUACACAUAGUGUGAUUGCUCGUUGUCUUCGUGUUCCUGAGCAUAGUAUCCGUGUGAUAACAAGAAGGGCUGGAGGGGGCUUCAGUGGCAAGAAAUAUGCCCAUAGUACUAUUAACAGAGAAAAAAUUGAAAGUUUUAGAAUAGUUUUGAAACAUUAGCAAGGCUCAACAAUGAUUUGGGAAGUGAAUUUUUUUUGUAAGGUCCCUUUGCUUAAGUCGAGAAGGGAAAGUU